rnacentral:rRNA from 1 species
AAAUCCCUGAGCUUAACUUAGGAAUUGCAUUCGAUACUGGGAAGCUAGAGUAUGGGAGAGGAUGGUAGAAUUCCAGGUGUAGCGGUGAAAUGCGUAGAGAUCUGGAGGAAUACCGAUGGCGAAGGCAGCCAUCUGGCCUAAUACUGACACUGAGGUACGAAAGCAUGGGGAGCAAACAGGAUUAGAUACCCUGGUAGUCCAUGCCGUAAACGAUGUCUACUAGCCGUUGGGGUCUUUGAGACUUUAGUGGCGCAGCUAACGCGAUAAGUAGACCGCCUGGGGAGUACGGUCGCAAGAUUAAAACUCAAAGGAAUUGACGGGGACCCGCACAAGCGGUGGAGCAUGUGGUUUAAUUCGAAGCAACGCGAAGAACCUUACCAGGUCUUGACAUCCC